GAUCGCGUAGCUCCGUUGGAAGAGCAUUGGGCUAGUAUUCCAAAGGUCGUAGGUUCGAAUCCCACCGUGGCCG
rnacentral:tRNA from 1 species